GAUGAACGCUGGCGGCGUGCCUAAUACAUGCAAGUCGAACGCUGAAGCUUGGUGCUUGCCCCGAGCGGAUGAGUUGCGAACGGGUGAGUAACGCGUAGGUAACCUGCCUCUUAGCGGGGGAUAACUAUUGGAAACGAUAGCUAAUACCGCAUAAAAGUCGAUAUCGCAUGAUAUUGAUUUGAAAGGUGCAAAUGCAUCACUAAGAGAUGGACCUGCGUUGUAUUAGCUAGUUGGUGAGGUAACGGCUCACCAAGGCGACGAUACAUAGCCGACCUGAGAGGGUGAUCGGCCACACUGGGACUGAGACACGGCCCAGACUCCUACGGGAGGCAGCAGUAGGGAAUCUUCGGCAAUGGGGGCAACCCUGACCGAGCAACGCCGCGUGAGUGAAGAAGGUUUUCGGAUCGUAAAGCUCUGUUGUAAGAGAAGAACGAGUGUGAGAGUGGAAAGUUCACACUGUGACGGUAACUUACCAGAAAGGGACGGCUAACUACGUG
rnacentral:rRNA from 1 species